UAGGGAAUCUUGCGCAAUGGGCGAAAGCCUGACGCAGCGACACCGUGUGAAGGAUGAAGGCCUUCGGGUCGUAAACUUCUGUCAAUUGGGGACGAAGGUAUUCAGGGUUAAUAGCUCUGGAUAUUGACGGUACCCAAUAAGGAAGUCUCGGCUAACUCCGUGCCAGCAGCCGCGGUAAGACGGAGGGGGCAAGCGUUGUCCGGAAUUAUUGGGCGUAAAGAGUACGUAGGCUGUUUUUCAAGUCAUAUGUGAAAACCUCAGGCUCAACUUGAGGAUUGCAUGUGAUACUGGAUAACUGGAGUGCAGCAGAGGAAAGUGGAAUUCCUGGUGUAGCGGUGGAAUGCGCAGAUAUCAGGAAGAACACCAGUGGCGAAGGCGGCUUUCUGGGCUGCUACUGACGCUGAGGUACGAAAGCUAGGGGAGCGAACAG
rnacentral:rRNA from 1 species